UACAUGAGGGGCAAGCGUUGUUCGGAAUUACUGGGCAUAAAGGGUGCGUAGGUGGUCUGCUAAGUCAGUGGUGAAAUCCCGCGGCCCAACCGUGGAACUGCCAUCGAUACUGGCGGACUUGAGUGCGUGAGGGGUUACCGGAACGAGCAGUGUAGCGGUGAAAUGCGUAGAUAUUGCUCGGAAGGCCAGAGGCGAAGGCGGGUAACUGGCACGCAACUGACACUGAGGCACGAAAGCGUGGGGAGCAAACAGG
rnacentral:rRNA from 1 species